CACGUAGGGUGCAAGCGUUGUCCGGAAUUAUUGGGCGUAAAGAGCUCGUAGGCGGUCUGUUGCGUCCGCUGUGAAAUCUCGGGGCUUAACCCCGAGCCUGCAGUGGAUACGGGCAGACUAGAGGUAGGUAGGGGAGAAUGGAAUUCCCGGUGUAGCGGUGAAAUGCGCAGAUAUCGGGAGGAACACCGGUGGCGAAGGCGGUUCUCUGGGCCUUACCUGACGCUGAGGUGCGAAAGCUAGGGUAGCAAACGGG
rnacentral:rRNA from 1 species